rnacentral:rRNA from 1 species
UGGGGAAUAUUGGACAAUGGGACCCAAAAGUCUGAUCCAGCAAUUCUGUGUGCACGAUGAAGUUUUUCGGAAUGUAAAGUGCUUUCAGUUGGGACGAAGUAAGUGACGGUACCAACAGAAGAAGCGACGGCUAAAUACGUGCCAGCAGCCGCGGUAAUACGUAUGUCGCAAGCGUUAUCCGGAUUUAUUGGGCGUAAAGCGCGUCUAGGCGGUUUGGUAAGUCUGAUGUGAAAAUGCGGGGCUCAACUCCGUAUUGCGUUGGAAACUGCCAAACUAGAGUACUGGAGAGGUGGGCGGAACUACAAGUGUAGAGGUGAAAUUCGUAGAUAUUUGUAGGAAUGCCGAUGGGGAAGCCAGCCCACUGGACAGAUACUGACGCUAAAGCGCGAAAGCGUGGGUAGCAAACAGGAUUAGAUACCCUGGUAGU